rnacentral:rRNA from 1 species
UACAGAGGUGGCAAGCGUUGUUCGGAAUUACUGGGCGUAAAGGGCGCGUAGGCGGCCUACUAAGUCAGACGUGAAAUCCCCCGGCUUAACCGGGGAACUGCGUCUGAUACUGGAUGGCUUGAGUUUGGGAGAGGGAUGCGGAAUUCCAGGUGUAGCGGUGAAAUGCGUAGAUAUCUGGAGGAACACCGGUGGCGAAGGCGGCAUCCUGGACCAACACUGACGCUGAGGAGCGAAAGCCAGGGGAGCAAACGGG